AAACUACGAUAGUAUGAAGACCUCCAACAUUUUCCUACUCUUUCUAGUCACAUUCCUCGUCAUCGCCGGUAAAUUUUUCGAAUUUUCUAUAUUCAUUCGAUUCUGAUUUUUCUCAUUCAACCAACGUACUGCUCGGUUUCAUCCUCGUUCGAUCUCUUCGUAUGUCGUGUAGGGAAUGAAGUGGCGACAGCAGGGAGAACCGAAAAACGGGUGUGAGCUCGGGUCGGUCGAAGUGCCAACUCCUUGUGUUGAGGAAGAAUGCAAGAAGCAGUGCUCCUUGAAAUGGGACCCGAACCCGUUUGUUAGCCCGACUGUUGGUGAUACCCUUAAUUAGGCUCUAAACACUUAUCGUUAUGUAAAAUGGGGCCGACUUUAAUAUUAAUUGUUACGAUAAAACUCAUUCUACAAAAUUAAAGAAUAAGUUAUCCAAAAAAUUAUAAAUCUCACGUAUAAAUCUAGUAUUUAGCCGUAUGUUACUCUACUAGGACUGCACACAUAGACCAUCAUAUUUCAAUAGCAAUUUCAUUCUCAC
rnacentral:lncRNA from 1 species